GUGCCAGCAGCCGCGGUAAGACAGAGGUGGCGAGCGUUGUUCGGAUUUAUUGGGCGUAAAGAGCGCGUAGGCGGUCCUGUAAGUCGGUGGUGAAAUCCCGGGGCUUAACCCCGGAAUUGCCCUCGAUACUGCUGGACUUGAGUGCGGGAGAGGAUAGUGGAAUUCCUAGUGUAGAGGUGAAAUUCGUAGAUAUUAGGAAGAACACCAGUGGCGAAGGCAGCUAUCUGGACCGCAACUGACGCUGAGGCGCGAAAGCGUGGGGAGCAAACAGGAUUAGAUACCCGUGUAGUCC
rnacentral:rRNA from 1 species